UCAACCCUCAAGCCUGGCUUGUUGUUGGACCCGGGACCCUUUUCAGGGUUCACCGGUCUCGAAGACAAUGACGGCGUCCGUGAGACCCCCGGUACAAUGAGCUUUCUGAGCACGUACCGGAGUGGGCUGGCGGACCCGGUCCUCCUUUUUCAAUUUCUAA
rnacentral:misc_RNA from 1 species